AGGUGUGUUUACGAGAUGGCCGGG
rnacentral:siRNA from 1 species